CCCAGUCCUGCGUGGCUGGCCCCGGGACGCGGCCCCCUCUGCCGGGCCGAGCUUUGCGUGGCCCGGCCCCCACGCCGCAGGACCUCCUCUCCCCACCCGGCCCCUCUCCCCGCUCUCUGCCUCUUCUGGCCUGGCGGGGGGUGGGGUGGGGGAGCUAGAGGUCUCCACGUGGCUGAGCCUGAACGUCAGGUAAGGCUCACUGUUUGCUCAGGACAUCUUAUGUCGAGUCUCCCUUUUGGACCUCAGGACAGGGCCGGUCAGUGAGACCAGGUGGAGCCCCCUCGGUGGAGAAGAGUCCUCCCCUUCCUCUCAAGCUACUUGGGAAAAAGAAUCCUGGGCUGAAGGACACCUUCCUCCAGACUUUUUCAGGACCCAGAGAUAUUCAGGCUGAGCGUGUUUACCCCAAAGCAGCCCAUGAUCUUUUAAAACAAGAAGAGGGAUUGGCUGGGAGAAGCUGGCAAGAAGAAGCCCCCUCCUCCAGUUACUCAAAGAGUCCGUGGAGGGCACCCAUCUAGAAAAGAAAUGCCCCAUUCACUGGUACUGUCUCCACCACGUGAGGAUGGACACCGGUGCAGCGACCAAGCUGAGGAUGAAGAGGACCAUUGUCACCCACGGGGACUCUCCCUGCUACGUCUCUACUACAAUUGCUUUGAAAAAGCACACACAUCUGUGCCUCUGUCCCCUGCUUCAGAGGCCUGCAGAUAGAUAACGUCAUUACCGUGGGUGAGUGCAGGCCCCAGAGCAAGACAGUACAGUUCAGUGUGCUCAAGGGCACCAAGGCGGCCAGCACCCAGCUGCAGUUCCAGAAGUUUGGAGAGAAUGCGAGCUGACUCCCCAAACAAAGAGGAGCUAGUUUACAACUUCAAAACAAAACAAAACAUACAAAUAAACAAACAAAAAAAGA